rnacentral:rRNA from 1 species
CCUACGGGUGGCAGCAGUGGGGGAUAUUGCACAAUGGGGGAAACCCUGAUGCAGCGACGCCGCGUGUGGGAAGACGGUCCUCUGGAUUGUAAACCACUGUCCCCAGGGACGAAGAUGACGGUACCUGGGGAGGAAGCUCCGGCUAACUACGUGCCAGCAGCCGCGGUAAUACGUAGGGAGCGAGCGUUGUCCGGAAUUACUGGGUGUAAAGGGAGCGUAGGCGGCGCUGCAAGUCCGGAGUGAAAGCCCAUGGCUUAACCAUGGUACUGCUCUGGAAACUGUGGAGCUUGAGUGCGGGAGGGGCAGGCGGAAUUCCAGGUGUAGGAGUGAAAUCCGUAGAUAUCUGGAGGAACAUCAGUGGCGAAGGCGACUAUCUGGCACAUAACUGACGCUGAGGAGCGAAAGCGUGGGUAGCAAACAGGAUUAGAUACCCCUGUAGUC